UACAGAGGGUGCGAGCGUUAAUCGGAAUUACUGGGCGUAAAGCGCACGUAGGCGGAUCAGCAAGUUAGGGGUGAAAUCCCGGGGCUCAACCCCGGAACUGCCUUUAAGACUGUUGGUCUGGAGUCCGAGAGAGGUGAGUGGAAUUCCGAGUGUAGAGGUGAAAUUCGUAGAUAUUCGGAGGAACACCAGUGGCGAAGGCGGCUCACUGGCUCGGUACUGACGCUGAGGUGCGAAAGCGUGGGGAGCAAACAGG
rnacentral:rRNA from 1 species